AUUGAACGCUGGCGGCAGGCCUAACACAUGCAAGUCGAGCGGAUGAGAGGAGCUUGCUCCUCGAUUCAGCGGCGGACGGGUGAGUAAUGCCUAGGAAUCUGCCUAGUAGUGGGGGACAACGUUUCGAAAGGAACGCUAAUACCGCAUACGUCCUACGGGAGAAAGUGGGGGAUCUUCGGACCUCACGCUAUUAGAUGAGCCUAGGUCGGAUUAGCUAGUUGGUAGGGUAAAGGCCUACCAAGGCGACGAUCCGUAACUGGUCUGAGAGGAUGAUCAGUCACACUGGAACUGAGACACGGUCCAGACUCCUACGGGAGGCAGCAGUGGGGAAUAUUGGACAAUGGGCGAAAGCCUGAUCCAGCCAUGCCGCGUGUGUGAAGAAGGCCUUCGGGUCGUAAAGCACUUUAAGUUGGGAGGAAGGGCUCAUAGCGAAUACCUGUGAGUUUUGACGUUACCAACAGAAUAAGCACCGGCUAACUUCGUGCCAGCAGCCGCAGUAAAAC
rnacentral:rRNA from 1 species